rnacentral:piRNA from 1 species
UNGUCUCCUAAUUUCUUGAUUGCUUCUGAUA